rnacentral:lncRNA from 1 species
AAUUGGACGCCCUAGACUGCAAAACCAGACGAAGGUGGGGAAUAAACUUUUUCUUGGUUUUUUUGCAUUCUAGAUUGCUGCAACCCUUGCCAGCUGCGACCUCUAGCUGCGAUGUCUAGUGUGAGCAGCUCGAUUACGCCAGGCAGUGCACCGACCACUGUUGCGCUCCGAUUCAAAUGUUACAGCCAAGGGUCUGCCAACAUCGUUUGGCAACUUCUCUUCAUCAUCGAAGAUGCCAACGGCCGGUAACACCAUGUCAACGCAGUCCUCGCCAGGUCCAACCACGAUGAGCCUCCAAUGCCAACAUCACUGCUUCAAGCGUUCAGUAAGCAAGCUACUUUCGCCCCCGGUGUCGAUGACCGCGGUGGCUCAACCUUCACACCAACUUAACCGGCUCUGAUCAGAUCAGACUGCUUCAAACCGCGCUCACUUCUUCCGCGGCAGUGAUAAUAUCAACCAGCUGCGCCGGUCCAACCGACAGCGGAAUACCAACUACAAUCGCUUCUUUCUCUUUAGCGGCAACAGCCAAGCUAUCACCAACAAGCUGCAGUACAAGAUCAACAACAACCUUCAGGCACAUUCAUACCCGCUGUUUAACGGCGUGGCACCCAGAACCAUCACCGUGGUCACCUUGUUACCGGUGUGGUUGGUGGAGGGCAGAACAACCACUAUCAGCCAUCGCAAGUCCGAGACGCGGACGAAAGAGGUCGGGUUCACGAACACAUACCCGACGGAUCACAUGGCGUUGCUGGAGCAUUUUUGAUCGACGAACGAACCGCUGCAGGUAGGAUGAAUUAGAUGUUAGGUUUAGAUUCAUGAGUUGAACGUUUGUUUUUUUCUCCUCUCAGGGGGAUGCCUUGAAGGAAUCAGGUUACCGAGGAAAUGCCGAAUCAUCGCCGAUCAGCUCCAAAGCAUCAAGCAACCCGACGACAACACCUUCCGGAAGUUCGCAUACCAGUCUGCAGCAGCAGCAGCAACAACAAUAACAGCAGUCUUCUCUCGCAUCCAAUGGGGGAGUCAACAGCCUAGCGGGCUCGACGUAUGCAACACCUCGUCCCAGAUUCGAUCAAUUAGAUAAAACAACUCUGAAGACUAUGAUAGUAUGAUGAACUCGCACAAUCAUCACCACCGAAGAUGGGAAGUUCGCGGCGCCACCACCGUCAAUGUUCGACGCGUUGGCAUCUCGAAAUCAGCACGUAUUCAGCUUUGGUUCUGAUCUGCUUCAGUCGUCCUACCAAAGUCACAUGCGGAACAUGCGGAAGUGGCCGCGGGAGACAAUUUGAUUGACCCUGGCGAUUCCACCAUCGCAGAACCAUCAAUUGGCAGCGUCGAGAAGCAAGCUAUCCUCGUCGAACCAGUUCAGUAUCAUCCCGGACCGAUCGGAAAGUACCAGAAUCUACUGAGCGAACUUUCGCUGGGCAGUACCAACGCUGGCGCCGAGUUGACCUGGAGGACGCGGGAUCUUCGUCAGUUGCUACAGCAGAUGCCCGUAAUUCAUUCCGGGGAGGAGUUGGGCGUGAUUGGAAGAGGAUUGGAUGGCUUGGCGGAACCGAAGACUCCGGAGAAGCUUUUUCAUGUUGAUCGAAAGGAUUUUUGGAGAUACGACGCGGCUGGUGAUCUCCACGUCGCACCAGGAUUCGAGUACGAGUUGAAGAGGGGCCCGGAUGGCGUAGAUCGGCCACGCUACCAGCACCACCACCGGAACCACCCCGGGUGACCGCGUCAAUCCUAAUCAACAGUACAAAUUGCUCCUCUUUAAUCGCUCGACUGUUCUUUCAGCAGACAGGCAGCUCGUCUUCCGCGAAAAAAGGAGAGCGGCGGAAUUAACAAGGUCAACUUAAUUAUCUUCCAGAAAAUCCCCUGUAUGGACAAACUCGAUGAAAAGUCCCGAAAGAAGCCACCGUUGAACAACCCGCUGAUUGUGGUUCCAAGCGGGAACUGGAGGAAAACCUACGUCUACGUCAUCCAUCCCAAAGAUUGUGAAACUAUUUAGGACUUACCCACAUUAGUUUUUGCCAACGGUUAGCUAGUCACAGCACAGACUCACGGUAAUAGCAGGGUCGGCUGCGCUAGUCACCAACGAGGAGAUACGCGAACUUAACUUUGGGAACUUCACUUUUCUUGAGUUACGGGUUGAAUGAAAACUCCUCUUUUGGGAGACGGAAAGGGAAAUUUAUUUAAAGAAUUUAAGUCGGUUCAAAAGUGUAUAUUUGUGAGUGUAUGUGUGUGUGGGGGACUCGGUACGUACCGCUGCCUUUCCGCUGACGACGACGAUCUGCUACUCAGUCUGUCCGCUGGUCGCGAGCGCUCGCGUUCGCUGCUGAAGCACCGGUGCUGGUUCUCGACGUGGUGGGGGUGGAUGGUAGGUAGAGCACGGCUUAGGGACCAGGCCUUCCCUCCUUGACUGGAUCGGCCGAUCGGGGACCUGCCCACGUUGACCAAACCGAGAGGGGGAAUUUACGCUCCUUUGGGAUGAGAGCCACGAGGGCCCGAGCGUGCUCCUUGGAAAUUAUGGUCCACGGACCAGAGCAACUGAUGAUCUUUGACGAUUAGACGCAGUAAGCCGGCUCCUCCGCGCUUACGCAAACUGGGCCGAAGAGCGAGCGAUCUGGCGGUCAAGCGGCGUGCUUAACUCGCAAAAUGGCGUUUACGCCAAAGGACAAAAGGUCCUGGAGGACAAUGGGGAGAAGUGAUUAAUUUUUUUAGCCGUACUACUAGGUAGGGUAGUUUAGCUUAAGUCGUCCUUCCGCAUAGCCGAAUACGGGGUUUAGAACAUACCUGAACGACUGGAGGUGCACUCGCACAAAUUUCCACCACUUUCACUUCUAGUCCUUCGCUCUACUUUUUCUAACGGAAUCGAUCGCUCACUUGCCUGGGAGAAUAUGACCGUUGGCGGUCUAAUUCUCGUCCCUUCAAGCCUUUUGGUCGGUGACACGACAUUACGUCACGUGACACCCAUCACUUUUGGGCGUUGUCUACCACCCCCUUUGCGAUGUUUUAAGACGAAGACAAUACUGUCGCUGGUUGUUGGUUUGUCCCACCGUUUGUGUGUUGUUAUAGUGUGUUAACAAGUUGUGUUUUUAUUUAUUAAUUUCCCCUUUUUACUAACCCUACUAACUAAAUUACAUUUAUUUAUUUAUUCCCUAAUACCCUACUAACCCCAUAGCUAAGAAUCGUGAUCGUUCGCAUUUAUUUUUGGUUUAUUGAUGUUGAAGAAUGAAGGACUUGUAACGAGUGGUUACAAUUGUUACCUGAAGACAAGGCUAGGCGACCAGAGAGUGACCACCUAACUUCGGUGCAGUGAAUUGGCCGCGUCAUCCCAAAGUUGAACAAACGCGGGCCAAGCGCGCCUUCGAGAGCUCCAUGUCCUCCCAGCAUGCGGCAAAAAAUGCCAAACUAAGCGAGCACAUGCGGCGGCGGCGAGUUAAACGAGCAUAAUGUUCUCAACAAACUGUUCAAACUCCCCGCGGAACCCAACUCCGUCUUCACCACCGGGUACUUCCCACUCGCGCGUAACGUGACAGUCCCCCAGCAGAUCCUGCGAAUUGCCUAUACGUACGCCAAUGGUUUGGUCGACUUGGGCCAGGCGCGUCCUCCAUGAUCAAGGAACCGCCGAUGCGGUCCUCCUGAAACUCUCUGUUCCCGACAAUGCCGUAGUCCGUAACAAGACCAUUCACAACCGUUCCGAAUGUUUGUUGAAACAAAAGAAAUAAAGAUUUUUUUUUA